AUAUGUCUUAUUUGGAAAAAAAAAGGCAUUGUUUUUCCAGAGUUUGGGUGUGCUUAUGAGGUAGCAAGUACAUACUUUUUGACAGUCGAGGCUUCUGGUGAGCUGUCGGAAGAGUCUUAUCGGUUGAUCCAACAGAAGAUGUGUGAUCAGGGAGCAACCUACGGUGUCAAGAAUAUAAAACAAAAGAUCAGAAACACCAGAAAAUUGUGGGCUAAAAUGAGAUCGAGAGAUUCUCAGGAUUACAAUUUGAGGUGUCGACAUCAUCUGGAUUUACUUGACAGAUUAUUUGACCAGGUAAAACCUUUUAAAUCUAACAUUUCAUUUCUCAAGUUUUGUGCCUUCUGA
rnacentral:lncRNA from 1 species